rnacentral:rRNA from 1 species
GAUGAACGCUGGCGGCGUGCCUAAUACAUGCAAGUCGAGCGAACGGACGAGAAGCUUGCUUCUCUGAUGUUAGCGGCGGACGGGUAAGUAACACGUGGAUAACCUACCUAUAAGACUGGGAUAACUUCGGGAAACCGGAGCUAAUACCGGAUAAUAUUUUGAACCGCAUGGUUCAAAAGUGAAAGACGGUCUUGCUGUCACUUAUAGAUGGAUCCGCGCUGCAUUAGCUAGUUGGUAAGGUAACGGCUUACCAAGGCAACGAUGCAUAGCCGACCUGAGAGGGUGAUCGGCCACACUGGAACUGAGACACGGUCCAGACUCCUACGGGAGGCAGCAGUAGGGAAUCUUCCGCAAUGGGCGAAAGCCUGACGGAGCAACGCCGCGUGAGUGAUGAAGGUCUUCGGAUCGUAAAACUCUGUUAUUAGGGAAGAACAUAUGUGUAAGUAACUGUGCACAUCUUGACGGUACCUAACCAGAAAGCCACGGCUAACUACGUG